GCCAAAUACACCUCUAAUUUUAUGUAUACUUGUCAAUAUAAGUUGUUUACUUAGUAAACUCAGUAAAUUCAAUUAAGAUAAUACCAUUCUUAAUUUAAAAGAAGUAUAUUAAUGAGACUAUUAAGCCAUUAUUCACUUUAAUUGUUUGUUAAAUAUGUUUGGCAAUCCACCUUUUGAAUAUUCUCCCUCUGUAUAUUUGCUGUUACCAAUUCAACAUAAUAUUGGAGACUGAUUUGCAAGCAUACAUUUACACAGGAUUGUUAUCAUCACCCUUUCAACAACAAGUGUAAUACAAGCGUAAUAAUAAGCUUUAAUUACAGUGUAUUUAUGUUUAAUUGUACAAACCAUGCAGAUUGUUUUCUCUGCUCUUUUACAGGGUUGUGAUCCACGGCUAACAAAAGAACCACCCAAAAUAAUGACUUGACUUAUUUAUAUCGCUGCCUGUUAGAAGCAUGAAGACUGUACCAAGGCUUCACUACUGGCCAUCUUUAGUGUACCCAAGGAACCAGGACCUCAGCUUGGGAUAAUGGAGACUGCUAAUCAGACAGUGAGUGAAUCUCAAGGUGCAGGACAAACUUUGGCACCUCUUUGCACAGCCUGCUGCUGUGGACUACUAAACCGAACGCUGGCGGUUAUGUUCAUGGUUAGCCUGGCCUUUGCCAUUGUGGUGGGAAAUGUGGUGACGCUUACUGUUUUCAUGCAGACCCGGCAUUCUCGAACACCUCAGGGCUACCUCAAAGUGUCCCUGGCCUUCGCUGACAUGAUGGUUGGAGUGUUGGUGGUGCCAUUUUCUGUAUACACUGAAAUCUUUCUGAUGGUGACCAGCACUCCACCGCUGUGGUACCAGGGCAUUUCAACAGCCUCACUGGAGGGUGGAUCAGGACCUUGGCAACCCUGCAUGCUGAUAGGUCCAGUUUUUGCUGGAUGCACUUUUGUCUCAAUUAGUACCAUCUUUCUGAUGACAGUGGAGCGCAGUGUGGCAAUCCUGCGUCCGCUGCAUAAAGACACUCUUGUGACACGGCAUCGCACCCUUUUCCUAAUUGUCUUGUCCUGGGCUGGCAGCUUCUUACUGGCAAUGGCUCCGCUCAUGCUGAGCAACAGCUUCACGCUAGAGUACAAUGAAUGCAGCCGCAUGUGCAACUAUGCACCCUUACUAAUCGGACAUCAGUUGCCACCAGAUGCAAACAUCCUUCUGCUGUUUCCAGCCUUUGACUUCAGUUUACUGGGUGGGACAUUAGCAGUCAAUAUCUUGUCCUUCACCAGUAUCCGCCGAUACUCCCGCAAACGAAAGCUGCUCUCUGAGGGAAGUCUUGGCACAGAUGCAGGAGUCGGCGGGUGUCCCCACAGGCCCUCUUUUUCUGAUAUCAAAGCAGCUAAAACCAUUGGGAUCCUAACCUUUGCCUUCACAGCCUCAUUCUCUCCUAUCGCAGUAUUUGUGCUGGGGAACGUAGUGGGUUACACCUGGUGCAACUUCUCCUUUUUUGCAUUUUGGAUUCUGACAAGCAAUAGCUGCUGCAAUGUGAUUAUUUAUAGUGUGCGGGACCACCGUUUUAGGAAAGGGCUGACUUUGCUCUUUCAGCGGGACAAAGCGCAACCUCACCCAGAGAAAAGCUGAGAUUUUUUGGACAGGAGCUGGGCAAAGGCUGGCAUUGACUUCACUUUCUUCACCUCCCAUCACUUUCGCCUUGAGAGAUUAAGAACUUGCUUUUCAGGAUCUCUUUCACAAAUGGAUCAGGGACAACAAUAAACAUCAUUCCAGGGAUUCUGGCA
ensembl:lncRNA